rnacentral:rRNA from 1 species
CAAGCGGUGGAGCAUGUGGUUCAAUUCGAAGCAACGCGCAGAACCUUACCAGCCUUUGACAUCCCGGUCGCGAGCACCAGAAAUGGAGCUUUUCAGUUCGGCUGGACCGGAGACAGGUGCUGCAUGGCUGUCGUCAGCUCGUGUCGUGAGAUGUUGGGUUAAGUCCCGCAACGAGCGCAACCCUCGCCCUUAGUUGCCAUCAUUUAGUUGGGCACUCUAAGGGGACUGCCGGUGAUAAGCCGGAGGAAGGUGGGGAUGACGUCAAGUCCUCAUGGCCCUUACAGGCUGGGCUACACACGUGCUACAAUGGCGGUGACAGAGGGACGCAAAGGAGUAAUCCUUCGCAAAUCUCAAAAAGCCGUCUCAGUUCGGAUUGUGCUCUGCAACUCGAGCACAUGAAGUUGGAAUCGCUAGUAAUCGCAGAUCAGCACGCUGCGGUGAAUACGUUCCCGGGCCUUGUACACACC